GAAGUGAUGCUUCGUAAAUAAUUUCGGGAAGAAUAGCGAAUGCGCUACCUCUAAAAAUGAACCUGUAAAAAGGGCGGCUUUGAAGCCGCCCUUUUUAUACCU
rnacentral:sRNA from 1 species